CACUUCAGUCUGGACAAUAAUAAUGUACAACGCAGAUCUGACCAAAACAUCUGCUGAUUUCACCUGGAAGAAGCCAGCUUUUUGCUGCUGAUCUGUCGCUCUUUUACAGACUGUGCCAAGGAAAAAUAGUUAGCUGUCCAAGUUCUUGAUUCAGUACAUAAAACAGCCUAGACAACACAACAGAAAAAUACACAUAAAUACAACAGACACAACUUAAAGAGUUCAUUCAGCGACUACACACAGGC